GGAUUGAACGCUGGCGGCAGGCCUAACACAUGCAAGUCGAGCGGCAGCACGGGUACUUGUACCUGGUGGCGAGCGGCGGACGGGUGAGUAAUGCCUAGGAAUCUGCCUGGUAGUGGGGGAUAACGCUCGGAAACGGACGCUAAUACCGCAUACGUCCUACGGGAGAAAGCAGGGGACCUUCGGGCCUUGCGCUAUCAGAUGAGCCUAGGUCGGAUUAGCUAGUUGGUGAGGUAAUGGCCCACCAAGGCUACGAUCCUUAGCUGGUCUGAGAGGAUGAUCAGCCACACUGGGACUGAGACACGGCCCAGACUCCUACGGGAGGCAGCAGUAGGGAAUAUUGGACAAGUGGGGGCAACCCGUGAUCCAGCAAUGCCGCGUGAGUGAUAGAAGGUCCUUAGGUUGUAAAGUCUUCGUUUACCCGAGUAUGAUAGUGACAGUAU
rnacentral:rRNA from 1 species